AUUGAACGCUGGCGGCAGGCUUAACACACGCAAGUCGAGCGGGGUGAUGGUGCUUGCACUAUCACUUAGCGGCGGACGGGUGAGUAAUGCUUAGGAAUCUGCCUAUUAGUGGGGGACAACAUCUCGAAAGGGAUGCUAAUACCGCAUACGUCCUACGGGAGAAAGCAGGGGAUCUUUAUGACCUUGCGCUAAUAGAUGAGCCUAAGUCGGAUUAGCUAGUUGGUGGGGUAAAGGCCUACCAAGGCGACGAUCUGUAGCGGGUCUGAGAGGAUGAUCCGCCACACUGGGACUGAGACACGGCCCAGACUCCUACGGGAGGCAGCAGUGGGGAAUAUUGGACAAUGGGGGGAACCCUGAUCCAGCCAUGCCGCGUGUGUGAAGAAGGCCUUAUGGUUGUAAAGCACUUUAAGCGAGGAGGAGGCUCUUUUGGUUAAUACCCAGAAUGAGUGGACGUUACUCGCAGAAUAAGCACCGGCUAACUCUGUGCCAGCCGCCGCGGUAA
rnacentral:rRNA from 1 species